GCCCCAAUGGCACAGUGGUUAGUGCGUUUGCUCUACAUGUCUAAGUUGUCCACCAUGUUUAAGCAAGGGGCCCGUGUUCGAGUCACGGUUGGGUCA